CCUUGAACGCAAAUUGCGGUAGUCACAAGUGAAUCGAAAACCGUGUUUUUUACUUUAUUUAUACAAUGACUUUGUGUCAGGAAAUUUGGACUGAAUGAUUUCCAAAGCGCAAGAAUUGUAGAACAAAUUGGUACAAAAAAAACAUGACUGGAUUAAAGAAAUUGACACAAUAUUGACCGUAUAUUGAGAACAAAAAGUCGACAAACACGCAUUUUAAUUAUAACAAGCCCUUAUAUUUACCGUGGCUGUUGUUUUUGUUGACAAACAGCAAACACUUUCUGUAACUGUCCCAAUACCUCAAUUUAGUCAUUAAACAACAACUACUUUUUGAUUUAGUUCAUGUUUUACAUCAUAAUUACUUUCAACACUGAGUUUAAAUUUUAUUCUGUACUCAUAAUACUUGUGUUGCAUACAAUUGUACCAAUACAUUUUAUUGAUUUUAUGGGGACUACAAACCAUUGCUUAGAAAGCAAAAUAAAUUUGGUGUAGGUAUAGUCCAACUGAAGAGAGCAUUUCUCUUCUUUUUGAUGUAUACUAUAAAUAGGUUUCUUUAAAGCGUAAAUUACAUGUAUAACAGUGGUUGCCAAUCAGGGAUUUUUAUUUAAGAGUUUAAAAAAUAGUGUAGGAUUCCUUAUACAGCAUGUAUAUGCAUAUACAACUUGUUUUCCACUAGCAUAUACUCUGCGGUAUGAAGAACUCGUGACGAGGGUUUUCAUAUGAAAUAAAAUUUAAAAAAUAAAAUCCUCCCACCCGCCCCAUUUUUUUCAAAAAUUUGGAUGAAAAUCUACUAAUUAAUUUUAGUUGGCCUAA
rnacentral:lncRNA from 1 species